rnacentral:rRNA from 1 species
CGGUGUUUAACUGGCGUGAUGUGGGACGUCCUACCGGUGGGCUUAGCCUCGCGAGGGGCGGCCCAACUAAUAUCCCGUCGCGGUGCUCUUUACUGAGUGUCGAGUCGGGCCGGUACGUUUACUUUGAACAAAUUAGAGUGCUUAAAGCACGGCUAUCCUCGCCUGAAUACUGCGUGCAUGGAAUAAUGGAAUAGGACCUCGGUUCUAUUUUGUUGGUUUUCGGAACCCCGAGGUAAUGAUUAAUAGGGACAGAUGGGGGCAUUCGUAUUGCGACGUUAGAGGUGAAAUUCUUGGAUCGUCGCAAGACGGACAGAAGCGAAAGCAUUUGCCAAAAAUGUUUUCAUUAAUCAAGAACGAAAGUUAGAGGUUCGAAGGCGAUCAGAUACCGCCCUAGUUCUAACCAUAAACGAUGCCAGCUAGCGAUCCGCCGAAGUUCCUCCGAUGACUCGGCGGGCAGCUUCCGGGAAACCAAAGCUUUUGGGUUCCGGGGGAAGUAUGGUUGCAAAGCUGAAACUUAAAGGAAUUGACGGAAGGGCACCACCAGGAGUGGAGCCUGCGGCUUAAUUUGACUCAACACGGGAAACCUCACCAGGCCCAGACACCGGAAGGAUUGACAGAUUGAUAGCUCUUUCUUGAUUCGGUGGGUGGUGGUGCAUGGCCGUUCUUAGUUGGUGGAGCGAUUUGUCUGGUUAAUUCCGAUAACGAACGAGACUCUAGCCUGCUAAAUAGGCGUACCUUAUGGUAUCGCGAAGGCCCCCGGCUUCGGCCGGUGGGUUUUUACUACCAACGUACAAACAAAUCUUCUUAGAGGGACAGGCGG